rnacentral:rRNA from 1 species
UACGUAGGGUGCAAGCGUUGUCCGGAAUUAUUGGGCGUAAAGAGCUCGUAGGCGGUUUGUCGCGUCGAAUGUGAAAACCCGGGGCUCAACCCCGGGCCUGCAUUCGAUACGGGCAGACUAGAGUUCGGUAGGGGAGUCUGGAAUUCCUGGUGUAGCAGUGAAAUGCGUAGAUAUCAGAAGGAACAUCAGUGGCGAAGGCGGCCUCCUGGACCAAUACUGACGAUCAGGUGCGAAAGCGUGGGGAGCAAACAGG